GACGUAGGGGACGAGCGUUGUCCGGAUUCAUUGGGCGUAAAGCGCGCGUAGGCGGACCUGCAAGUCGGGGGUGAAAGCCCGAGGCUCAACCUCGGAACUGCCUUCGAUACUGCGGGUCUCGAGUCCGGGAGAGGUGAGUGGAAUUUCUAGUGUAGAGGUGAAAUUCGUAGAUAUUAGGAAGAACACCAGUGGCGAAGGCGGCUCACUGGCCCGGUACUGACGCUGAGGCGCGAAAGCGUGGGGAGCAAACAGG
rnacentral:rRNA from 1 species